rnacentral:rRNA from 1 species
CAGCCGCCACGGGAAUACGAAGGGUGCAAGCGUUACUCGGAAUUACUGGGCGUAAAGCGUGCGUAGGUGGUGGUUUAAGUCCGUUGUGAAAGCCCUGGGCUCAACCUGGGAAUUGCAGUGGAUACUGGGUCACUAGAGUGUGGUAGAGGAUAGUGGAAUUUCCGGUGUAGCAGUGAAAUGCGUAGAGAUCGGAAGGAACAUCUGUGGCGAAGGCGACUAUCUGGGCCAACACUGACGCUGAGGCACGAAAGCGUGGGGAGCAAACAGGAUUAGAUACCCCGGUAGUCCCUGUCUCUUAUAA